CGCCUGUUUAUUAAAAACAUAGUUUUAUAAAUUAAUUUAAAAUUAAUCCUGCCAAUUGAAAUUAUUUUAAAAGGCCGCAGUAUUUUGACUGUGCUAAGGUAGCAUAAUCAUUAGAUUUUUAAUUAAAAUCUGGAAUGAAAGGUUUAAUGAAAUAAAUUCUUUUUUAAUUUAAAAAUUGAAUUUUAUUUUUUAGUUAAAAAGCUAAAAUUUUUAAAAGGGACGAGAAGACCCUAUAGAAUUUUAUAAAUUAAAAAUUAAAUUUAUAUAAUUAUUUUUAAUUUAAUUUAUUAAUUUAUUUUAUUGGGGUGAUAUUUAAAUUUAUUAAACUUUUUAUAUUUUUAUCAUUUAUAAAUGUUUAUUUGAUCUUUUUUUAUUGAUUAUAAAAUUAAAUUACCUUAGGGAUAACAGCAUAAUUUUAUUAAAAAGUUCUUAUUUUUAAUAAUGUUUAUGACCUCGAUGUUGGAUUAAAUAAAAUUUUUAUAUGAAGAUAUAUAAAAAAUAAG
rnacentral:rRNA from 1 species